CUCCCUGAGCCUUCUGGGGAGGAUGGAAAGACUGAGACCCAGGGUAGCUCCGGGGCUCACCCCAGGGUCCCAGCCUAGGAGACCCAGGCACCAGGAGCACCAGGCUCCCUUCCCUGAGAGCUGCAGCACCCAGCACUCACAAGCUGUCUGCACUGAGCUCCCCAGGAAGAGGCUCAGCCCCCAUCGUCCCACCCUGUGGCUUGAGCCGGAGCCC
rnacentral:lncRNA from 1 species